rnacentral:rRNA from 1 species
GAUGAACGCUGGCGGCGUGCCUAAUACAUGCAAGUCGAGCGAACAGACGAGGAGCUUGCUCCUCUGACGUUAGCGGCGGACGGGUGAGUAACACGUGGAUAACCUACCUAUAAGACUGGGAUAACUUCGGGAAACCGGAGCUAAUACCGGAUAAUAUAUUGAACCGCAUGGUUCAAUAGCGAAAGACGGUUUUGCUGUCACUUAUAGAUGGAUCCGCGCCGCAUUAGCUAGUUGGUAAGGUAACGGCUUACCAAGGCAACGAUGCGUAGCCGACCUGAGAGGGUGAUCGGCCACACUGGACCUGAGACACGGUCCAGACUCCUACGGGAGGCAGCAGUAGGGAAUCUUCCGCAAUGGGCGAAAGCCUGACGGAGCAACGCCGCGUGAGUGAUGAAGGUCUUCGGAUCGUAAAACUCUGUUAUUAGGGAAGAACAAAUGUGUAAGUAACUAUGCACGUCUUGACGGUACCUAAUCAGAAAGCCACGGCUAACUACGU